rnacentral:snoRNA from 1 species
UUAGACACAACUUACUCGAAAGUGGACUUGACUCUAUCUCUUUUGUCUUUCUGAAUCUUCAAAAUAUACGCAUCCACAAAAUCAUUGCCUCCAUCUUCAAUGACAUGA